CGGGUGAGUAACGCGUAUCCAACCUACCCAUUACAGGGGAAUAACCUUGCGAAAGUAAGACUAAUGCCCCAUGGUAUUCUCAGCAGACAUCUAAUGAGGAUUAAAGAUUUAUCGGUAAUGGAUGGGGAUGCGUCUGAUUAGCUUGUUGGCGGGGUAACGGCCCACCAAGGCAACGAUCAGUAGGGGUUCUGAGAGGAAGGUCCCCCACAUUGGAACUGAGACACGGUCCAAACUCC
rnacentral:rRNA from 1 species